GCUCAGUAACACGUGGAUAACCUGCCCUUGGGACCGGGAUAACCCCGGGAAACUGGGGAUAAUACCGGAUAACGCAUAUCUGCUGGAAUGCUUUAUGCGUAAAAUGGAUUUGUCUGCCCAAGGAUGGGUCUGCGGCCUAUCAGGUAGUAGUGGGUGUAAUGUACCUACUAGCCUACGACGGGUACGGGUUGUGAGAGCAAGAGCCCGGAGAUGGAUUCUGAGACAUGAAUCCAGGCCCUACGGGGCGCAGCAGGCGCGAAAACUUUACAAUGCGGGAAACCGUGAUAAGGGGACACCGAGUGCCAGCAUCAUAUGUUGGCUGUCCAGAUGUGUAAAAUACAUCUGUUAGCAAGGGCCGGGCAAGACCGGUGCCAGCCGCCGCGGUAACACCGGCGGCCCGAGUGGUGAUCGUUAUUAUUGGGUCUAAAGGGUCCGUAGCCGGUUUGGUCAGUCCUCCGGGAAAUCUGACGGCUCAACCGUUAGGCUUUCGGUGGAUACUGCCAGACUUGGAACCGGGAGAGGUAAGGGGUACUACAGGGGUAGGAGUGAAAUCUUGUAAUCCCUGUGAGACCACCUGUGGCGAAGGCGUCUUACCAGAACGGGUUCGACGGUGAGGGACGAAAGCUGGGGGCACGAACCGGAUUAGAUACCCGGGUAGUCCCAGCCGUAAACGAUGCUCGCUUGGUGUCAGGCAUGGCGCGACCGUGUCUGGUGCCGCAGGGAAGCCGUGAAGCGAGCCACCUGGGAAGUACGGUCGCAAGGCUGAAACUUAAAGGAAUUGGCGGGGGAGCAC
rnacentral:rRNA from 1 species